UUUAUAAUCUAUUCUGAAGUAUAUAUUGUUCAUUUUUUGGAGUAUAUGAUGUUUUAAUUGAUCAAUUUUUGAAAAGUUGAAAAUUUGGGCUGUACACGCCAAUUGUUCGAUGAAUUGCCUGAGAGAGAUUAUCUUUUAAAAUAGAUUACUUGCUUUAGGGCUGUUGCUAGAGUUGGCAAAAAAUAUGAGGAGUGCUUAAGUGAUUUUUAAUGAAAUGUCUGAUAUAUAUUUAACCCUUUGAAUGCUAUGCUUGUGGGUUAUGUUACUUAUCGUCUUAUCACUUGUGUGAGUAUUUUAUUUAGCUUGAAAAUGAACUUCCACUAAAUCUUCUUUUUUCUAUUUCUGUUUUCAGAUUUGGUUAAUUUGAUAAUUUACUUGGUAUUUGUUAUGUUUGUAUAAUCUGUAUAUCUGUGCUAAGAACCCACCUAGCAACCCCUAUUCAGGUUACAUUUGCUAGGGAAGAGGUUUAAGGAAAAGAAGGGUAAUGAAGCAAUUAAAUAAACAGCUAAAUAUAGUUUGUUAAGUUGUUAUGGGUUUCUAAUAGUGCAAGAAGUUUGUUAGGAUGUGUAUAAAUAGAGAACUGGAGUGGUGAGAGAAAUCAAUUGUGAAACUUAUACCGAGUAUUAUCUCAUUAGGGAGAGUGCCUCCUCUUGAAUUGGGGCUAGCUUUUAUUGAGUGAAUUACCCUGAUUCACUAAAUACGUCCAUAAUUCCUUUUAUUGAUUGCUCCGCUAGUGUAUUUUCUUUCCUGUUGCUCUGCGUAGACUCUUGCAGCAGGUUGAUUCUUAUCAGAGUGAGAGCAGUUCCAAUCUAACCACGGGGAACAUGGCCCCUUCGUCCAUCAAUUGGAAGGUCGAGCAGUGAUAUAUGGACAUGCGCUCCAUGAUAGCUCAAGAGGUUGCUAAUGUCUUGAAUACCUCACGGGCUGAGCAACAACAAUUCAUUGAGCAACUCUGGUAACAGCUAUCGAUCGGUUUUCUCUCUGCAAAUGGAAGGGAAAUUUAAUGGCCAACAAGGAAAAUCAAAAGAAAUUCCUGAGAGAGAUGCGAACACCUCUUGAUUCUCUUUGUUCGAGGAUUCGAGGAGGCGAAGCAAAAUCAGAUGUGGGAGGGUCCAAACGACGUCCACUAGACACUUCGGAUUCUGGAGAAAGGGAGGGUAGACUUGGGUCAGAAUUGGAGGUUCAAGAAGCUGAAUAUGCCGUUGUUUGAUGGCCAGAAUCUUGAUGGCUGGAUUUUUCGUGCUGAGAGGUUCGUUGAUUUCUACUUCCUCAGUGAAGAGGAUAAGGUGGAAGCCGUGGUGGUUGUGUUGGAAGAGGAUGCACUAUUCUGUUUCCAGUGGGAGCACCGCUGCAGGACUUGUGAGAGGUUGAAGUCGGUCUAACUUCGCCAUUUCUGUAUCCACUGGUGCCUUGCAUCGACCAUCGACAAAUGGAGGGUGUAGGAGAAUACCGUCGGAAGCUCAUUGAGCUGUUGGCCCCCUUAGAUGGAAUUCCAGAAGAAUUUGCUAAAGGGAAAUUUAUAAAUGGACUCACAGAAAAUAUUAGGGCCGAAGUAGAUUGUUAGCUGAAGUUAAGGAAAAGCUGGAAAUCGGGGUCCCUUGGUAAAUCUUUUAAAAGUGCAAAGCCCAAUUCCCACCACAAAAAUAAACCUAAAAACCUUUACUACCUUCACUCCAUCAUCAUAUACUCCACCAAACUAGAAAAAUCCUCUUGCCUUCCAACCUGUCAAUGGAGCCACAACAUCAAACACAAAACCGAAACCCUUCCAAUUUUCUAGCCACUUAAUUAACCGAGAAAAGAAUUCAACAAAAGAGGGAAAGGGGUUGUGCUUUUGAAGUGAUGACAAAUAGAUAAUUGGACAUAAGUGUAAAAGGAAGGAGCACAUUGUCCUCAUUACUGAUGAUGAGGAGGGCGAAGAUAAGGUUGACCUGAACAUGGUGGAGUACCACCUAGAGAACGAUGACGAUGAGGAGGACUCAAAGGGGAUCCAGCCAGAAUUCUCCUUUAAUUCUGUUAUCGGCAUCACUAGUCCACGUACCACGGAAUUAAAACUCUCCCGUUCCGUUACAGAACGGCCGUUCUGUAACGGAUUUUGGAUUUGCCGUUCCGCGAAAUCCCGUUAUGGAACGCCAUAAUAAAAUUCACGUACUUCUCGCCGCGUUGUCCGUUCCGUAACGCGAACUCGCCGCGUUAAAACGAUUUUAUCCCCGUUACCUCCGUUCUUUUCAAACAUUGGCCAAAUUUUUUUUAUGAUUUAAUUAUAUAGUUGAGGAAACAUGAUACUCUAUUAGAUUUGAUUAUAUUAUGUUGUAAUAAUGCUUCAUAAACUAAAAAAAUGCAAAUAAGGUUAAAACAUAUUAAUGUGAAUUUUUUUAAAAAAUUCACGCCACGUUGGCCGCGAAACGUUCUAUUUCGACGUUACAAGCCGUUCUCGCGACAACGCGACCGUUCCCGUGAACGCGACCGCGAGCGCAUUUUUUUUCCCUGCCACGUACUAUAAAGCUAACAAGGGUUAUUAACAAUGGAGAAGUGGUGGUCAUGGACUCAUGGUGGAUCCACAGUGGUGUAGAGGUUACAAGUUCCAUUGCAACGAACACGAGCUUUUGGGGUAUCCUUGGGUAUAGGGGAAUCAGUUCAAGGGGAAGCAAUUUGCAAGUCCGUAUGCUUGCAGCUUCCCGGUUCCACUAUGGUGGAGGAUUUCUUACCCCCGGGGAACUCGGAUAUGAAUUCGGGACUACAAUGGUUAGAAAAGUUGGGCACUAUAUGACUAAUUGGAAGACUCAAACCUUGGAAUUCCAGGUUGGUGAUGAAAGGGUGCUGCUCAAAGGAAGGAGGGGGAAGGAUUUUGGGUGUUAUUGACGGCUAUGAUGAAAAAUCUAAGGAAGGAGGGGGAAGGAUUUGUGCCCGUAAGUUUUUACUUGGGUAUGCAAAUAUCGAAGCCCCCUUAUCCAAUCAAUUGAAGAAAGAACAGUUUGGAUGGAAUGAGGAAGCUUUACAAGCUUUUGUGGCCCUAAAGAGAGCUAUGACUCAUGUUAUGGUCCUUAAGAUGCCGACUUUUUUCAAACAAUUAUUGUUGAGGUUGAUGCUUCCCGCUAUGGUUUAGGAGCAGUAUUGAUGCAAUCAGAACACACAAUUGCAUAAUUCAGCAAGAUAUUGGGGCAAAGAGCAAGGCUGAAAUCCAUCUAUGAAAUAGAAUUGAUGGCUAAAGUACUUGUAGUACGUAAGUGGAGGCAAUAUUGGUUGGGCAGGAAAUUUAUCAUUCGUACUAACCAACAAAGACUGAGAUUCUUGAUGGCCUAAAGGGAAGUGGGAGUGGAGUACCAAAGGUGGAUGAGCAAGCAAUGGGGUAUGAAUUUGAUAUUCAGUACAAACUUGGCACUCACAACAGGGUAGCUGAUGUUCUAUCCGGGUAGGAGGGACCCCAAGUUGAGGUUGAUGCUUCUCGCUAUGGUUUAGGAGCAGUAUUAAUGCAAUCAAUGCAAUCUGUUCACACAGUUGCAUAAUUCAGCAAGAUAUCGGGGCAAAGAGCAAGGCUGAAAUCCAUCUAUGAAAUAGAAUUGAUGGCUAUAGUACUUGUAGUACGUAAGUGGAGGCAAUAUUUGUUGGGCAGGAAAUUUAUCAUUCGUACUAACCAACAAAGACUGAGAUUCUUGAUGGCCUAAAGGGAAGAGGGAGUGGAGUACCAAAGGUGGAUGAGCAAGCAAUGGGGUAUGAAUUUGAUAUUCAGUACAAACUUGGCACUCACAACACGGUAGCUGAUAUUCUAUCCGGGUAGGAGGGACCCCAAGUGAAAAUGGAAUGUUCAGCCUGGUUUCAUUUAACAACAUUGAUUGGGAGGCUAUGAGACAAUAUACAGCAAGAGUGCAAGAAUGUUUCAUCAUUCAACUUACUGAAGCUAUUGAGCAAGGAAGAUCGGUUCCCAAGGGAUACAUCUUGGACCAAGGGUUCUGAAGUAUAAGGGCAGAUUGGUGUUACCUUCCAAAUCUGAGUAUAUUCCCCUUCUGAUGAAGGAAUACUAUGAUUCUUCUUUAGGAGACCAUUCGGGGAUUUCAAGUCAUAUCAAAGGAUGGCGGGGAAUGGUAUUGGCCAGGUAUGAGAAGUGUGACAACCUAUGUCCUCUCUUGCUUGUCAACAAUACAAAGCUUCCAACCUAAAGCCAGUAGGCCUUUUGGAAGACAUAUCUCUUGACUUUAUGGAAGGGUUGUCGAAAUCUCUAUGCGUAGACAUUGUUAUAGCAAUGGUUGAUAGCCUUACCAAAUUUGGCCACUUCAUCUCCCUAAAGCAUCCCUUCACUUUUUAUUAAAGAAAUAGUCAGGCUCUAUGGGUUCCCUUUCACCAUUGUCUUUUCAUUAGCCUCUUUUGGAAGGAGUUAUUUUGCUUACAAGGGUCUUCUUUAAAUAGAAUUACGGUGUAUCAUCCACAAUCAGACGACCAAACUGAAGUGGUCAAUAGAGGGUUGGAGACCUAUUGUCGGUGCUUCAUCAAUGGACGACCAAAAGGGUGGGCCAAGUGGCUAUUGUGGGCUAAUUAUUUGUACAACACCUCUCACCAAAGUUCCAUCAGUUGCACUCCCUUCAAGGCUUUAUAUGGUAGAGACCCUCCGAAUUUACUGAAGUUUGGAAAGGGAAGCACUGCUGUUUCUUCCGUAGAGGACCAAUUGCAGGAGAGGGAUGCUAUUCCAGAUGACUUGAAGGCAUAUCUGUUAAGGUCUCAACAUAUCAUGAAGCAGGAGAGCUGAAGAAUUUGUUGUGGGGGAUAAGGUGUACUUAAAAUUUCAGCCUUAUAGGUAGAACUCUAGAAGUCUCUCUCCUACAGACCUUGUGCUAGGUUAGCACCUUGUUUUUAUGGCCCCUUUCAAGUUUUAAAGAGGAUUAGGCGAGUGGCUUACCAACUACUUUUACAAAUGAAGAAAUUUAUUGGUUUGGCUCCUGUGUUAUCAACUCUUCUUCCUCAACUCUCCUUUGAUUUGACGAGGAAGUGGCACCUAAAUCAGUGUUGGGAGUUAGGAACACUUCUCAUGCUUCCAAUGUUGGCAUAGAGGUCCUCAUUAAGUGGCAGGGGUUUCUUGAAUUUGAGGCUACCUAGGAAGAUUAUGCCGAUUUUGAGAAGAGGGUACAAGCUUUUAGUUAAAGACAUUUUAAUUUUUUCUAAUAUAUAAGACAUCGUUCUUAUUGUUUCAGAAGAGGGUACAAGGACACAAGCAAGCUAGUCCAAAAAAGUACCGAAAAUUUAAUCCCGAUAAUAUUUUUCGUGAGGAUCGUAUUGAACUGCUAGUUAGGACUGAUGAUGGGGUGGAUGGUUUCAUUAACAACUAUAUACAUGUUCGUGAAGUGAGAGACAGAGAUGCUAAUUAGUCAAGGAAAUUAGUGGUGUAUGGUGCUUAUCACUUUCUAGCAAGUAUAAUUAUGUAUUUUUAAAGCUGAUAAUCAACUUUGGUGGCGUUUUGAAGCUUGAUAUUCUAAUAUUCAAGUCUUCUGUAUACUUCGUUGGAUAUUUAGGGGGUCAAAAUGAAAACUUUGUAUUGUCUUUGACAAAACAAUUGAUCAUGUAUGUGAUGAUGGUGUAGAAUAUGAAUUAAAUUCAUUUUCUGUAAGAUAUACCCAUUUUUGAAAAUAUUUAGGAAUGAAUGUUCUAUGUGGGGCAAUUAGGUGAUUGCAAAACUCACAAAAUUCAGGGCUAGACGAUAUCAAAGAAUCAAUCGACAUAGUCAUAACAAUGUUUUGUGAACCCACAAGGUUAGAUGGAAUUUUAAGCCGGAUAACUUCAAAUUUGAAAUGCGGAUUGUCCUUUGAUUUGUCUGAUUCCGUGAAAAAAUUAUUUCGGGAUUACAACACAUUGCGCGAAGCAUAUACCUCGUUUUGUGAGGGAAUGUUAUGGGAAAAUAUUGAUAAAUGCUUUAACAUUGAAACAAGAAUUGUGUUGAAAAAUAUUGAUGAAUGUAAAGAAAUGUUGGGGAUUCUAAAGCUUAUUGACAUAGUUAAAUGUAAGAAGGGAGUUUAAAGAACAAAGCAGGGAAAGACUCUCCCAAGUCAGAGUCAAAUCCUGAAUCAAGCCAAGAAGAAAGUGAUAAGGAAGGAAAGCAGAACAAGGGGAGAAAAAAGGAGAAAUGGUGGAGAAGUGGUGGUCAUGGUAGAGAAAUGGUUAUUAACAGUGGAGUAAUGGUGGUGAUGGUGGAUCCACGGUGGUGGAGAGGUUACAAGUUCCAUUGCAACCAACAGGAGCUUUUGGGGUAUCCUUGAGUACAGAGGAAUCAGUUCAAAGGGAAAUAAUUUGCAAGUCUUUAUGCUCGCAGCUUCCCGGUUCCACUAUGGUGGAGGAUUUCUUACCCCUGCCGCAACUCGGAUAUAAAUUCGGGACUACAAUGGUUAGAAAAGGUAGGCACUAUAUGACUAAUUGGAAGACUCAAACCUUCGAAUUCCAGGUUGGUGAUGAAAGGGUGCUACUCAAAGGAAGGAGGGGGAAGGAUUUUGGGUGUCGUUGACGGCUAUGAUGAAAAAUCAAAGGAGGGGAAAAAAGACCCUCCCACCCUUUUUCCUCCCCUUGUCCCGCUUCCUUUCCUUAUCACUUUUUUCUCGGCUUGAUUCAGGAUCUGACUGUGACUUGAGAUGGUCUUUCCCGGCUUUGUUCUUUGAAACUCUCUCUUUACAUUUAACUAUGUCAACAGGCUUUAAAAUCCCCAGCAUUUCUUUACGUUCAUCAGUAUUUUUCGAUCCAAUUCUUGUUUCAAUGUUAAAGCAUUUAUCAAUAUCUUCCCACAACAAUCUCUCACAAGACGAGGUAUACGCUUCGCACAAUGUGUUGUAAUCUCGAAAUAACUUUUUCACGGAAUCAGACAAAUCAAAGGACAAUCCGCAUUUCAAAUUUGAAGUUAUCCGGCUUAGAAUUCCAUCUAAUUUUGUGGGUUCACAAAACAUUGUUAUGACUAUGUCGAUUGAUUUUUUGAUAUCGUCUAGCCCUAAAUUUUGUGAGUUUUGCAAUCGCCUAAUUGUCCCACGUAGAACAUUCAUUUCUAGAUAUUUUGGAAAAUGGGUAUAUCUUACAGAAAAUGAAUUUAAUUCAUGUUCUACACCAUUAUCACAUACAUGAUCAGUUGUUUUGUCAAAGGCAAUACAAAGUUUCCAUUUUGACCCUCCUAAAUAUCCAAUGAAGUAUACAGAAAGUUUGAAUAUUAGAAUAUCAAGUUUCAAAACGCCAUCAAAGUUGAUUGUCAGCCUUAAAAAUACAGAAAUAUACUUGCUAGAAGGUGAUAAACACCAUACACCACCAAUUUCCUUGCCUAGCCAGCAUCUCUGUCUCUCACUUCACGAACAAUAUGUAUAUAGUUGUUAAUGAAACCAUCCACUCCAUCUUCAGUCAUAACUAGCAGUUCAAUACGAUCAUCACGAGGAAUAUUAUCGGGAUUAGAUUUUCGAUAAUUUUUUGGACUAGCUUGCUUGUGUCCUUGUACCCUCUUUUGAAACAAUAAGAACAAUAUCACAUAUAUUAGAAAAAAUUAAAAUGUCUUUAACUAAAAGCUUGGAGGAGAAACUUAAGCAUGAACACUAAGGACUGAUCAUUUCAAGAUAGUAGACAAGUAUGCAAACUUCUGUAAGUAGGUAAGUGUUUUAGAAAAAAAGAAGCAUUAAUGACAAAGAUAUAGAAUGUAGAACUCAAUACCAAUAAAAAAUUCAGGUACUAACAUAACAAAAAUAGCAUCCAAAUAUCUAUACCUUUGUCUUGAAAACUUCAGACUGCUUGUAGUGCUUAAGAUAUGCCACUUGAACAUAAGAGUAAUAAUUGCCAGUAAAUGAUUCAGAUUAGCAGUGAUGCAUUUGAUGGAAUUACAUGAGAAAAUUGUUGGUUAUGCAACAUUUCAUUACAUGGGAAUCUAUAUGGCACGAUAUUGAAUAAAACCAAACAGAUUGAUAAAAAUCAAACUGCUGCAAGUGUCCACACAAAGCAAUAGGAAACAGAAUACACUAGCAGAGCAAUCUGUAAAGGGAAUCAGCAAUUCAGCAUAACAUGGUAUGAACGUACAGAAAGUUGUUAAGGAGAAAAAGGACCUUGACUUUCCCAUGCACAAGGUUAUGGUUGCUACUUGCUACUGUUUGAUGUGAAGAAAUUGGUAAUGAAAAGUACAUCGACUUUAUAAAAAAUCAGGUGUGGCUUUGGCUUCAGUUGGAGGAAGCCUCACAAUCGGCCCUAUUGUUCGAUUUGGAAAGAAGCUCAGUUCGAUUGUUGGGGGCUGCUUAUUUCAGUAUGACUCAGAGGCUGUAUAUAUUGACGAGGAGGUCAAAACCUUCAAGAGGAAGCAUCUAGAAGAAAAAUUAUUUCAAGGAUAACCUUAUACACUUGCAUAAUCACUAGGUUUUUUUGUGCUAAUAGGAUAAUUAGCUUUAAUUACCUUUCAAGGCAGUGAAGUGUGAAACUAGCUGUAGCAGUCUUCCACAUGCUUUCAUCUUGAAUCUGCACAUGCGAUCUAAGUACUUCUGGAUGCUUUCAAACAGUCGAACAGCCAAAGUACUUACUGAAGAAUGAUUCUAGUACAUGAAUUGACCAAAUGCUCACAAAAUGCAUGCUGAAAAGAGAAUCUAUUUAUUUCUGGUCUUCCAAUCCCAUGCUUAUGAAAGAGAUAUAUCCUAUAUUGGUGUUCUUCAACUGUUUAGUUUUGAUUUCAGUAUAAAUCACUUUUAUGUAUUACCAUUUAUGCGUGCUACUAGUUCUUUGUUACCAGCUUUAAGUUGGAGUUAUGUGCUUUGUUUUCUUAAUUACUUAGUUUGGUAAUCAUGAUCAUGUAAGUUCUGAACUUCUGAUUGUGUAAGCUUUAAGUGUUGAAGGCUUGAAGCUUAUAACAUAUAUUGCAAUUCUUUUCUGCAUAAAAAAUAAAUUUUCGCGCA